GGCGUGUUGGCAGAGUGGUCUAAUGCGUAAGACUUGAAAUCUUAUUCCUUCGGGAGCGCCUGUUCGAACCAGGCACACGUCG